rnacentral:rRNA from 1 species
UUGAACGCUGGCGGCAUGCCUUACACAUGCAAGUCGAACGGUAACAGGUCUUCGGAUGCUGACGAGUGGCGAACGGGUGAGUAAUACAUCGGAACGUGCCCGAUCGUGGGGGAUAACGCAGCGAAAGCUGUGCUAAUACCGCAUACGAUCUACGGAUGAAAGCAGGGGACCGCAAGGCCUUGCGCGGACGGAGCGGCCGAUGGCAGAUUAGGUAGUUGGUGGGAUAAAAGCUUACCAAGCCGACGAUCUGUAGCUGGGCGGUGAGGACGACCAGCCACACUGGGACUGAGACACGGCCCAGACUCCUACGGGAGGCAGCAGUGGGGAAUUUUGGACAAUGGGGGAAACCCUGAUCCAGCCAUGCCGCGUGCAGGAUGAAGGCCUUCGGGUUGUAAAGCUCUUUCAGACGGAAAGAAAUCGGGCGGGUGAAUAGCCUGCCUGGAUGACGGUACUGUCAGAAGAAGCACCGGCUAACUACGU